UACGAAGGGUGCAAGCGUUGUCCGGAAUUAUUGGGCGUAAAGAGCGUGUAGGCGGCCCGACCAGUCCGCUGUGAAAGUCCAGGGCUCAACCCUGGAAUGCCGGUGGAUACUGUCGGGCUAGAGUCCGGAAUGGGCGAGUGGAAUUCCUGGUGUAGCGGUGAAAUGCGCAGAUAUCAGGAGGAACACCAAUGGCGAAGGCAGCUCGCUGGGACGUGACUGACGCUGAGACGCGAAAGCGUGGGGAGCAAACAGG
rnacentral:rRNA from 1 species